rnacentral:rRNA from 1 species
AGUCGAGCGGUAACAGGAAUUAGCUUGCUAAUUUGCUGACGAGCGGCGGACGGGUGAGUAACGCGUAGGAAUCUGCCUGGUAGUGGGGGACAACAUGUGGAAACGCAUGCUAAUACCGCAUACGCCCUACGGGGGAAAGGAGGGGAUCUUCGGACCUUUCGCUAUCAGAUGAGCCUGCGUGAGAUUAGCUAGUUGGUGGGGUAAAGGCUCACCAAGGCGACGAUCUCUAGCUGGUCUGGGAGGAUGAUCAGCCACACUGGGACUGAGACACGGCCCAGACUCCUACGGGAGGCAGCAGUGGGGAAUAUUGGACAAUGGGGGCAACCCUGAUCCAGCCAUGCCGCGUGUGUGAAGAAGGCCUUAGGGUUGUAAAGCACUUUCAGGAGUGAGGAGGGGUAUACGGUUAAUACCCGUAUAUUUUGACGUUAACUCCAGAAGAAGCACCGGCUAACUCUGUGCCAGCAGCCGCGGUAAUACAGAGGGUGCGAGCGUUAAUCGGAAUUACUGGGCGUAAAGC